CGAGACGAUGUGCGGGCCGGAGGCACCACCACCGUCCGACGCGCGCCAACAUCCGCCACGGCCAUUGCCGUCACCGCAGGAGGGGCGGCCAAGAAAGAGAUGGGACCACCGCCGGCGCCGCCGCCGCCGCCGUCUCGUCCGCAGCCUCGCUCUGCUGCUCGGCCUCUUCGCAUUCCUCCUCUACCUGCGUAGGCACAUACGGCGUCGGCGGCGGCAACGGGAGGCCGUCGUCGUCGUCGAGGAGUUGGAGGUGGUGCGCGCGGGCAUGCAGCGCCCAGGCCGGGGCCAGCACGCAUGCAAUAGUCCAAGGCCGCCCGCGCAGUACUGCAGGCCUGCAGCAGUUGAGGUCUCUAACCUGCUGACGCGCCUUCCUAUUACUAUGAUUAUUAUUAUCAUUAUACUGAGUGAUGGAUUAGAACUCCGUUUAUUAUUAUUAUUAUCGUUAUUGUUGUUAUAUACAUAUUUGGUUCGGGGUACAAAAGCUUGGAACUGCUAUUGCUGUUGCUGUCUUUUUUUUUAUAGUAAAUCAUCCAUGCACAACAAAG
rnacentral:misc_RNA from 1 species